GUGCCAGCAGCCGCGGUAAUAAGUAGGGGGCAAGCGUUGUUCGGAAUUACUGGGCGUAAAGGGCGCGUAGGCGGCACGGCAAGUCAGGAGUGAAAGGCCUGGGCUCAACCGAGGAACUGCUUUUGAGACUGCCGAGCUAGAGUGCAGAAGGGGCAACUGGAAUUCCCAGUGUAGCGGUGAAAUGCGUAGAUAUUGGGAAGAACACCUGAGGCGAAGGCGGGUUGCUGGCUGACACUGACGCUGAGGCGCGAAAGCCAGGGGAGCAAACGGGAUUAGAAACCCCCGUAGUCC
rnacentral:rRNA from 1 species